AGUGAACGCUGGCGGCGUGCCUAAUGCAUGCAAGUCGAAGGAAGUGGCGCACGGGUGAGUAAUAUAUAGCUAAUCUGCCCCUUGCUGGAGGACAACGGGGAGAAAUGACUGCUAAUACUCCAUAGCAAGGGAUGUGACUAUAUCGUAUAAGCUAGUCGGUGGGGUAACGGCCUACCGAGGCUAUGACGCGUAACUGGUCUGAGAGGAUGAUCAGAGACUUUGGAGGGGGGCAACAGUCCAGCUCCUACGGGAAGGGGCAGUAGGGAAAAAUGCGCAAUGGGGGUAAGUCAGACGGGGCAACGGAGCGUGGAGGAUGAUACUUUUCGGAGCGUAAACUCCUUUUGUUAGGGAAGCGGUACCUAACGAAUAAGCACCGGCUAACUCCGUGCCAGCAGCCGCGGUAAUAC
rnacentral:rRNA from 1 species